rnacentral:rRNA from 1 species
GUUUGAUCCUGGCUCAGAACGAACGUUAGCGGCGCGCCUAACACAUGCAAGUCGAGCGAGAAGGGGGCAACCCCUGUAAAAGCGGCGCACGGGUGAGUAACACGUAGGUAAUCUACCUCGAGGUGGUGGAUAACCUUCCGAAAGGAGGGCUAAUACAGCAUGGGACCACGUCUUCGAAAGAGGAUGAGGUAAAAGCGGGCCUCUAUACAUAAGCUCGCGCCACGAGAUGAGCCUGCGGCCCAUCAUGGUAGUUGGUAGGGUAACGGCCUACCAAGCCGAAGACGGGUAGCUGGUCUGAGAGGAUGAUCAGCCACACUGGAACUGAGACACGGUCCAGACUCCUACGGGAGGCAGCAGUGGGGAAUCUUGCGCAAUGGGCGAAAGCCUGACGCAGCGACGCCGCGUGAGUGAUGAAGGCCU